GGGGUGUGUGCUGGUGGUGACUUCCACGAACAUCGAUGUUGGACGUUGUAUGAUAAUCUAUAGGUCCUCCAUUCUGACACCAAGUCAGUGAUCGGGCCCUAUAAUACUAUAAUAAUAGUAAUAUUGUAUAUAAUAUGAUCGUUCAUGAACCAAUUUCCUUUUUGUUGUUGUUGGCGUGAACAAGUCUUCAAGUCUUGUGCUCUGCUGAGCCACGAGUCUGUUCCUCGAGUCUGUUCUGCCUCUACCUGGUUGUCACGAUCUUCUAUACCAUACCUGCCAUAAAUAUCAUGAUACAAUACCAUAAAAACAGUAUACCAUAAAUACGAUACUGGUAUAUUUAUCUAUAAUAGUAAUAAAUAAAAUAUCUGUAUGGUUCACUUUUUACCAACUUUUUCAACACUUAACAAAUAGCAGUAAUAUUAGUAUUAAUACAGCAAGAUAUUAAUGAAACUACAUGGAGCCAUCAUAGCAUUGAUUAUACACUAUGAGGCCGUUAGUCUCUGACCAGAGGAUACAGAGUUCAUCAGGAAGAGCAGCUGUAGAGUUACACAACUUUACAGACUGAACUUAAACAUUUCACUUCUGGCAUCUUUUUUUAUUUUUAUUUUUAAAGCCGAAAAUUCCGCCACUUACACAAACAGCUCGACACGGAGCAGCGCGUGCGCUCUGAUCGCUCUUUUAAUGAAGUAUUGAGACUAAAAAUAUGCUAAAUCACAUCGCUCUUAACGUACGGGUACUUUGUUAGCAUCGCUCCACCGUGCAGCGCGACAGCAGCAGAAGUAGCGUCUAACAUUCAAGCUAACCUAAACCACCAAACGCUGAAGACAUCUUGACGCUGAUUGGCCGAGACGCGACACGUCCCAUCAAAGAUGUUUUAUUGCGAAGAGCACCACUCCACAUUUUCUCCGCGUCCCACUCCAAUCUCAUAAACGCCGGCCGGCCAAUUGACCCCCCCCCACCCCCAUACUCCAAAACAAAAACUCUUCGGAUCUACACGAUUCACGUAAGUCACCUAUUUUGGUUUCAAAACGGCGAAUUUCGCCGAAAGGUGAGGGAUUCUCAUGCCUGUAUCUAGGUUAUAAUAUCUAUGUUAUGUCUAUGUUAUAUCUAUGUUAUGAUAUCUAUGUUAUGAUAUCUAGGUUAUGAUAUCUAUGUUAUAUCUAUGUUAUAUCUAUGUUAUUCAGCCAGAGGGGGUCUGAGCUGCGUUACUUCCUGUCCAGCUGAAGGACCCUGAACAUGUGAGAUCCUCAGACCCCCACGAGAGAUGAUGAUGAUGCAACCUCGUAAGGAUCCAGGUGCACUUGUUUAUCUCUAUCACUGAGUUAUUUGUGGGGCGGUCCAAGUGCAACUGAGCGGGCGGACUGAAGAUAAGCCAGGAGAAUAUAUAUAUAUAUAUAUAUACAGAGACAUAUCUAUUCUCCCCUCCCUCAAGGGGAUUGAUCGAGUUCAUUCCUUCGUUCUGUGACCUCAUUUCUCACGUUGAGGAGAUCCAGAUCCUCCGUCUCUAAUCAUCUUCUCAUCAUCGCCCCUUUUCUCAGGUCUUCUUCUUCUUCUUCGCAGGCCGUACGCUCCUCACAGAGCCGAGGAGGCUGCCAUGGUUUAGAAAACAAACAGAACCAACGUGUCGUGAUUAAAGCGGAUUGGGUUCGGCCUCGCUGAUGUUAUUAAUAUUAUUAAUAGAGCAUCUCACAAGAGUGUGUCACACAAACACUCUGACGGUGACAUGCUGGACUCUACGCCUCCAAAACCACAACUCAGCGUUCAUGUUCAGUUCCUCGUAGGAGCCAUACAUGAUAUGAGUUAUUUUAAUUAUUCUAGUUGUUUGCUUAUUUAAUUUAGAUCUUUAUAUAUGUUUAUAUAUUAGGAUAGCUUUUUCUGCUGAUAGUUUUUAGUUUAGUUGAUUUAUUUGUUGUUGUUGUUGAGAUGCAUUCAGUCUUUUGGUUGUUCAUUGGUUGGUUCAUUGGGUAGCGCUGGGGGCUCCUGGGUGACUGAUGGAGUAGACCAGCAUGCACCUGGGGAGGCUUAUGUUUGUUUUUACUAGGGCUGUCAGCGUUAACGCGAUAAUCUAUGCGAUUAAUUUGGCCGCGUUAACGCACUAAAAUAUUUUAACGCAAUUAACGCAACUUUGUUUACUUCCGGUGUGCCUUGAAGUUUUUACACUCCUGAGUGUCAAACCGCGGCAGUACGGUUUAACACUGUUUCCGUUUUUAAAACAAUUAUUUCUCCACGAAAAUAAGGAGCAGGAAUCAGUUUAAACUCGUGGAUGAAUCAGUCGGGUUUCCUCCUGCUCCUCCUUCCUCCCGUCUCCCCCUCUGAUACACAGCGGAACGGAGGGGCGACGUGUCGGGGGACGCGGCGCGGAAAGAACUCGUCACACGAAACCUUCAACGUGAUUUGUCAAUCCGUUUGUCUGUCAACAUUUAGCGAAAAAAACAACCAAUGAACACUCAGUAAAUCACAAAGGACCUCCCACCACACAGGUGAGGCUCAUUAGCAGCCUGUCAGUCAGAGAACCAGAGAACACGGCGCGAGGACAAUGAGCCUUAUUACAGAGCUGAGAUUGUUCUGGAAUGUUUGAUGUAGAACACGUGGGUAUGUGUCACAUGCAAACGCCUUUAAAAGGUGAAUUUACAUGUUUUUGUAAAAUGGAGAACAUGAGCCCAGCCUCCAGAGGGUGAACAGGACAUAUGUGAAUGUCAGUCAGUUCCCAAGGCCACUGGUUCUGCUGUUGUUUAAUGUUAAAGAUGACAGGACCAAUGGGGUCUCAAUAUACUUUUUUUUUUUUUACUAAUCUGGAUGUUUCACUGAAGAAACAGUUUAUCAUCCACAAUAUUAAAUACCUCGCUGGCACUUUAUAGGUAGGAGCCUCUUUGAAAACACAGCUCUGUGGGAAGUUUUGUCUUUAAAAAGAAGAAAAAAAAACUUGUAAUCGCGAUUAAUGAAUUUCAAAAUGUGCGAUUAAUUAGUUAAUUUUUUUAAUCGAUUGACAGCCCUAGUUUUUAACAGUGAAGAAGAGGCAGCAUGAGGAGCUCCUUUGUUUAUUUGUUUGUUUUGUUUCAUAAAUGAUCAUAAAACAGAAUCCUGAAUGGACAAAGCUUUCUUUUGGCUGUGUGAACCCCGGAGCCCCCGGAGCCCCCGGACCCCUGGAGCCCAGCGGCCGUUAGCUCCACGUUGGCGUGUGGACAGAGGGCCACGGCAGUAUUCUCAAACUCCAGCAGGUGAAUCUGUUCACUGUCGUGUGGGCUUCUGGGUAAAAAGGUUUUCUGGGCAAAUAACAUUGACUGAAACAAAAUGGUGCCAUUGGUUGCAUUCUGGGAAAUGUAGGCUACGCAUACUAGUGACUCAAAUGCUCCAAUUUCAGCCAUUUGUUUUAAAAGUCUUCUGAGGCCCUGAACCUUACGCAGGUGCUAACACAUCCCUGGAGAACCUUUAAAAAGGACCAUGAACUAGACAUCGGGCCCUGGGCCUGCCGCAGGUCGCCACUACGGGAAGCUGAAUCGACACAUGCAGAGCCACUUGAUGUCUGGAUGAGAACGCUGAGAACUUAAAGUUAAAUUAAACGUAAACUCUGCCGUGACAUCGCCAGAAAAAGACACACACGCGAACCAGAAGACGUAAACAGCCUAACCUCGUCUCCUCCCUCCUCGGCCCUGAACUGACUGACCUCCUCUCCUCUAUGUGACCUGGCUUUGACCUCCCGCGCAUCUGGAGGUGGAAGGACACGAGCGUUGAGUUCAAGAGCCUCAAAGGGUGACGUCAUUACAACGAGCCCGGCGGCACAUUUAGGACAUCGAGACCACGUCGAGACCCCCGAGACGCGGAGACGCCCGUCCGGGAGCGAGCGGCUACUUAUCCUCGAGCGAGCCGCGUGACAUAAUUCAGAUAUUAAAUAUAUAAAACGUAGACCGGCCGGGCUUCAGACUCUUUAUCUCGAGGCUGUUUGUGAGUCCGUUGCCAUGGCCCUGUUUUCAUUGGGCCGUCACAUUUGUCGCGGAGGAUCUAAUUAGAAGAAGAAAAAAAAGAAAAGAGGCAAUGUAUUGAUCUCGAAGUGUGAUCGCAGCAACGUCCUAAAAAUAGGCCGAGCACCAGCGUGACAUCUGGGUCAUCGAUUUACGAGAGAGGCGAGAGGGAGAUGCUUCAAACGGGGCGGCGGCCUCCAGCCGGGGUUCACUCAGGGAGAUGGAACUGACUUGCGAUUCAAAUAUGAGAAGACCAAUCAACUUUGUUUUAAAGGGUAUUAUCAGGAACGCCUUUUCUUGAAGGAAAUGGCGUUCGGUCGCUGUAGGGAUCCCUCUCGUCGUGCAGAAAUGGGAUUAAAAUGGUGGAAAAUAUUCUAAAUACAGUUGAAAAAACCAUCUCACUUCCAUGUCCACAUGUUCUGGAGGUUUCCAUCCUGUCUCAGUUGCUCAAAUCUUCACAUUUUCUUUGUCCCAUGCUGAGGAAGAUCUCAUGACUGAAGGACCAGAUCAGUCUCAAUGACCUCCGGUCUUUAGUCCCAGGUCAUAAACUUUGAGUGUCGCGUCCCAAACAAGUCAAAAUGUGCUCCUCACCUGGAAUUGUAAACUUCCACAUCCGAAAGUUCAUUUUUAUAGCUCGUUGUGCGCAAAGAACGAUAUUAUUUUGGCGCUCAGUGACGCAACGUCAGUUCUUCGCAGUUCUCUCUUGCGGCCUGAUUGGACGUCGGCUCUGCGGAAUUCCUAGUGGGGGUUCAGGAAAUGGAGGGACGCGUGUUGCUUCGUGGAACGUUCUGCAUCUGUGGGCUUGAAGGAAGGUCUGGAGUCAGGGAGUCAAACGAGUCACGAGUCGUUAGCGAAGUCAAAGUCCUUUUGGGUUUUGUCGAGUCUAGAAUGUCGGAUUCGUGCGACUCGAGUCCAGACGUGGACCUCGUGUUGACAUCUUUACUCCACUGCUGACAGAAGGUACCCGAAAGUCUCCUAUUGAGUAAACAAUAGACGGUAUUUUCAUUAUUCGUGGUCUCUCUGAUAACGCUGUUAUUGUUUGUGCUACGCAAACGUCUUCGAGAACCAGACGGCGAUGUGUCUCGACGGUUGGGCGUUGGACAUGAAGUAAUCCAGGAACCGGUUUCCUGUCCCGUGGAGGUCCACAGCAGCCGGACCCGACCGAUACAACCCGGAUCCCUGAACCAGGAACCCCCCCCACCCCCCCGACAAACCAGGAACUCCCAAACAAUUAGCGGUGCCGCCGCCGGUCGCCUCGUUAAGGGCUGAACCGCGUCAACGCGACACCGGAGCAACACAAGCAGGAGGAACCGGGUCAGACGGCCAGAAACAUCAAGCAGAUCAGCCGAGGGACCGGGGCUGAGACAAUGAGAGAGUAAUAGGCUGGGGAGGGGGGGGGCAGAGGACACCACAAGCCCCACCCUCUCUACUGCCACGUUGAGUCCAGGCCACAAGCCACGAGAUGUUCUUGGCCCUCGCAGCGAGGCUCCUACCGGGUUCCUGAAGUCCCACGGAGCGGGUCCGGAGUUCGCCUCGCGCUCUGCCAGAGACUUCCCCUGAACCCAGGACACCUCCAGCUCUGAUUGGCUGAGCAGACGUAGGCGUCGAUGAAGAUGCGAAACUCCCCUGAUGCACUUCCCCGAAGGACACGCACCAUUCAUGAAAAGAAAUGCUGAUAAUGAACGUUCACCACACAUCUGACGUGGGACUGAACUUGUAAAUCAUACAAACGAGUUCUUCCUCCUGCCAAGUGGCUCCAAAUGAUUUGCAGUGAGUUCUUACUGUGUAAUAAAAGUUUUCCCAUGAUCCCCCAAAGUCUCCGCUCAUCAAUUGUGCCGCGGUGACGUCUAACAAGGCCGCAACACGCCGUAAAAAAUAAAUAAAAAGCCGUCCUGAACGCUGCUUGGCUGCGAUCGGGGUUCACGGUGUUUCACUCGCGUUGCCUCACCGCUCUCUCAUGCUAGCGGGGUAACGGACGGCUUUGGCCCUCAGGCCGCGGCCCCGGAGCCGGAAGGGAAAGCACGCGAGUCUGGAGAUCAGCAGAGUUUUAUGGCGGCGCGGCCGGCCUCCAUCUCCGACCUGCUAGCGACCCGGAGGAGGGACUCCGGAGAGACGUCGGCUCUGGUUACUGACCAGCUGACCGGGACACGUCUAUUAAAAAGGACGUUUUCCGCAGAAAAAAUUGUGCGUCAAAUUCUUCCUAAAUAAAAUAAAAUCGCACAACAUUAAGUCCAAUGGGUGC